rnacentral:rRNA from 2 species
CACGUGAGUAACCUGCCCUUGACUUUGGGAUAACUUCAGGAAACUGGGGCUAAUACCGGAUAGGAGCUCCUGCUGCAUGGUGGGGGUUGGAAAGUUUCGGCGGUUGGGGAUGGACUCGCGGCUUAUCAGCUUGUUGGUGGGGUAGUGGCUUACCAAGGCUUUGACGGGUAGCCGGCCUGAGAGGGUGACCGGCCACAUUGGGACUGAGAUACGGCCCAG